rnacentral:rRNA from 1 species
UACGUAGGGGGCAAGCGUUGUCCGGAUUUAUUGGGCGUAAAGAGCGUGUAGGCGGUUUGGUAGGUCCGCUGUGAAAACUCGAGGCUCAACCUCGAGACGCCGGUGGAAACCAUCAGGCUAGAGUCCGGAAGAGGAGAGUGGAAUUCCUGGUGUAGCGGUGAAAUGCGCAGAUAUCAGGAAGAACACCCGUGGCUAAGGCGGCUCUCUAGUACGGUACUGACGCUAAGGCGCGAAAGCGUGGGGAGCGAACAGG